UACGUAGGGGGCAAGCGUUGUCCGGAAUCAUUGGGCGUAAAGCGCGUGUAGGCGGCUUAGUAAGUCUGCUCUGAAAGCCCGGGGCUCAACCCUGGGAGGCGGGUGGAUACUGCUGAGCUUGAGUCCGGAAGAGGCGAGUGGAAUUCCUGGUGUAGGCGGUGAAAUGGCGCAGAUAUCAGGAGGAACACCAAUGGCGAAGGCAGCUCGCUGGGACGGUACUGACGCUGAGACGCGAAAGCGUGGGGAGCAAACAGG
rnacentral:rRNA from 1 species